UCUGAAACACGAGCGCAGCCGAACAUGACCGGAAGUUGCGCUUCAGCGAGAUCAGAUUAACUGUAAACAGUUCCAGCAUUUCACUGUUAAAUGUGUUUAAUUAAUUAAUCGAUCCCGACAUUACAUGUAAAGUUCGUGUGUGUGUCUCGAUCAUCAGAGAUUUCAGCUGAUUUCAGAUUUACUGGCUGACAGUCUGUUGAUUCACGAGCAGGAUUCAGUCCACAAACAGGUCUCAGGAUGGUGUGUGAGCUGCUGCUCUCUUCUAUCUGGUUCCUCUUUGUGAUCUUCUGGCUGGAGACCAUCAGCGUGUGGCUCUUCCUGUGCCUGUACUAUCAGGACAGAGUCUUCUAUCACUGGGGUUCAGGGGAGUUUGCAGAUGAUCCGGAUCAGUUCCUCUAUGUGUUGAGCAGAAUCGAUCUUUCUGCGCAUAUGCAGACGUGAGGAAGUGAUGUCAUGGCGUGGGAGUGCCGUGUUUAGAGGACGUGGGUGAUGGACGGGAAGGGUCAGAGGUCACCGGUGAUGUCAUGUCUCGGAGGAUCCAGCUGAAGAGAGAGAGAGAGCUGAACUCAGAGUCUGGAGUGAGAAUAAUAACCAAUGAAAGCUUAGAGAUUUCUGCACAUGAUCAACCGUGAUCUGCUUUCCUGGAGCUGAUUUAAUCUUUUACACUAGAGGAACUUCACUUUAUAUUAACGUCUCAAGAUGAUAAAACUCUUCUAAUUAUUCGUUUUCUAUUUUUGUAUCAAUUUGUCCUUUUUUGCCUGAUAAUAAAGCAGUUUUACACUGA